rnacentral:lncRNA from 1 species
AGCUGAUUAUCUAAAUGAACCGUAUCGUUGGCAACUAUGUAAAUUGAAGCUUGUCUAAUAAUAGUAUAUAGCACAUCACUAUCCAUUAUAUAGAGCUGAUCCUCUAUAUAUCUUGAACUUGUAUUCAUUAGGAUAUUAUCAACCAUGUAGGGGCUAUAGGCUUCAAUCUGUUUGCUAUCCUGAGUUGUCAUUCUUAUAUCUCGGUCAGCUUCUUCAUGAUC